GACGUAGGGCGCGAGCGUUGUCCGGAUUUCUUGGGCGUAAAGAGCUCGUAGGCGGCUUGUCGCGUCGACUGUGAAAACUUGGGGCUCAACCCCAAGCUUGCAGUCGAUACGGGCAGGCUAGAGUUCGGUAGGGGAGACUGGAAUUCCUGGUGUAGCGGUGAAAUGCGCAGAUAUCAGGAGGAACACCGAUGGCGAAGGCAGGUCUCUGGGCCGAUACUGACGCUGAGGAGCGAAAGCGUGGGGAGCGAACAGG
rnacentral:rRNA from 1 species